AAGUCGUAACAAGGUAUCUGUAGGUGAACCUGCAGAUGGAUCAUUUCGAUGAAAACCUUUUUUCUGAGGUGUGGCUCGCACCUGUCCAACUAAACUUGAGCUACCCAAUUUUUAACACGGUUGCAUCGGUUGGCUGUCAAACAGUGCGGACGUUUCGCGUUCGCUGCUGGGAGGCGGUCGACACCAUACACAAACACUUUUGAUGAUGUAGGAUUUGAAUGAAAAGUUCAUUUUUAUGAUGGAUCCGACUGGUAAUGCGGUCGUCUAAAUCUAAAAAACAACUUUUGGCAACGGAUCUCUUGGUUCUCC
rnacentral:misc_RNA from 1 species